UUGAAUUAUAAGGCUCUGAUUGUGCUGGCCCCUCCCGGGGCAUGUGCACGUCUCUGCCCGUUAAUCCCAACCCACCCCUGUGAACCAACCGUGUGAGGCGCUCUGUAAUGGAGCCGUCCCAUGCUUUAUCAUAAACCCCUGUAUGUCAUCAGAAUGUAAAUCUAUAUCCUCGCCUUAAAACCGCGUCGGUAAAAAAAAUUAAUA
rnacentral:misc_RNA from 1 species